GUUAAGCGACUAAGCGUACACGGUGGAUGCCCUGGCAGUCAGAGGCGAUGAAGGACGUGCUAAUCUGCGAUAAGCGUCGGUAAGGUGAUAUGAACCGUUAUAACCGGCGAUUUCCGAAUGGGGAAACCCAGUGUGAUUCGUCACACUAUCAUUAACUGAAUCCAUAGGUUAAUGAGGCGAACCGGGGGAACUGAAACAUCUAAGUACCCCGAGGAAAAGAAAUCAACCGAGAUUCCCCCAGUAGCGGCGAGCGAACGGGGAGCAGCCCAGAGCCUGAAUCAGUGUGUGUGUUAGUGGAAGCGUCUGGAAAGGCGCGCGAUACAGGGUGACAGCCCCGUACACAAAAAUGCACAUGCUGUGAGCUCGAUGAGUAGGGCGGGACACGUGGUAUCCUGUCUGAAUAUGGGGGGACCAUCCUCCAAGGCUAAAUACUCCUGACUGACCGAUAGUGAACCAGUACCGUGAGGGAAAGGCGAAAAGAACCCCGGCGAGGGGAGUGAAAAAGAACCUGAAACCGUGUACGUACAAGCAGUGGGAGCACGCUUAGGCGUGUGACUGCGUACCUUUUGUAUAAUGGGUCAGCGACUUAUAUUCUGUAGCAAGGUUAACCGAAUAGGGGAGCCGAAGGGAAACCGAGUCUUAACUGGGCGUUAAGUUGCAGGGUAUAGACCCGAAACCCGGUGAUCUAGCCAUGGGCAGGUUGAAGGUUGGGUAACACUAACUGGAGGACCGAACCGACUAAUGUUGAAAAAUUAGCGGAUGACUUGUGGCUGGGGGUGAAAGGCCAAUCAAACCGGGAGAUAGCUGGUUCUCCCCGAAAGCUAUUUAGGUAGCGCCUCGUGAAUUCAUCUCCGGGGGUAGAGCACUGUUUCGGCAAGGGGGUCAUCCCGACUUACCAACCCGAUGCAAACUGCGAAUACCGGAGAAUGUUAUCACGGGAGACACACGGCGGGUGCUAACGUCCGUCGUGAAGAGGGAAACAACCCAGACCGCCAGCUAAGGUCCCAAAGUCAUGGUUAAGUGGGAAACGAUGUGGGAAGGCCCAGACAGCCAGGAUGUUGGCUUAGAAGCAGCCAUCAUUUAAAGAAAGCGUAAUAGCUCACUGGUCGAGUCGGCCUGCGCGGAAGAUGUAACGGGGCUAAACCAUGCACCGAAGCUGCGGCAGCGACACUGUGUGUUGUUGGGUAGGGGAGCGUUCUGUAAGCCUGCGAAGGUGUGCUGUGAGGCAUGCUGGAGGUAUCAGAAGUGCGAAUGCUGACAUAAGUAACGAUAAAGCGGGUGAAAAGCCCGCUCGCCGGAAGACCAAGGGUUCCUGUCCAACGUUAAUCGGGGCAGGGUGAGUCGACCCCUAAGGCGAGGCCGAAAGGCGUAGUCGAUGGGAAACAGGUUAAUAUUCCUGUACUUGGUGUUACUGCGAAGGGGGGACGGAGAAGGCUAUGUUGGCCGGGCGACGGUUGUCCCGGUUUAAGCGUGUAGGCUGGUUUUCCAGGCAAAUCCGGAAAAUCAAGGCUGAGGCGUGAUGACGAGGCACUACGGUGCUGAAGCAACAAAUGCCCUGCUUCCAGGAAAAGCCUCUAAGCAUCAGGUAACAUCAAAUCGUACCCCAAACCGACACAGGUGGUCAGGUAGAGAAUACCAAGGCGCUUGAGAGAACUCGGGUGAAGGAACUAGGCAAAAUGGUGCCGUAACUUCGGGAGAAGGCACGCUGAUAUGUAGGUGAAGUCCCUCGCGGAUGGAGCUGAAAUCAGUCGAAGAUACCAGCUGGCUGCAACUGUUUAUUAAAAACACAGCACUGUGCAAACACGAAAGUGGACGUAUACGGUGUGACGCCUGCCCGGUGCCGGAAGGUUAAUUGAUGGGGUCAGCGCAAGCGAAGCUCUUGAUCGAAGCCCCGGUAAACGGCGGCCGUAACUAUAACGGUCCUAAGGUAGCGAAAUUCCUUGUCGGGUAAGUUCCGACCUGCACGAAUGGCGUAAUGAUGGCCAGGCUGUCUCCACCCGAGACUCAGUGAAAUUGAACUCGCUGUGAAGAUGCAGUGUACCCGCGGCAAGACGGAAAGACCCCGUGAACCUUUACUAUAGCUUGACACUGAACAUUGAGCCUUGAUGUGUAGGAUAGGUGGGAGGCUUUGAAGUGUGGACGCCAGUCUGCAUGGAGCCGACCUUGAAAUACCACCCUUUAAUGUUUGAUGUUCUAACGUUGACCCGUGAUCCGGGUUGCGGACAGUGUCUGGUGGGUAGUUUGACUGGGGCGGUCUCCUCCUAAAGAGUAACGGAGGAGCACGAAGGUUGGCUAAUCCUGGUCGGACAUCAGGAGGUUAGUGCAAUGGCAUAAGCCAGCUUGACUGCGAGCGUGACGGCGCGAGCAGGUGCGAAAGCAGGUCAUAGUGAUCCGGUGGUUCUGAAUGGAAGGGCCAUCGCUCAACGGAUAAAAGGUACUCCGGGGAUAACAGGCUGAUACCGCCCAAGAGUUCAUAUCGACGGCGGUGUUUGGCACCUCGAUGUCGGCUCAUCACAUCCUGGGGCUGAAGUAGGUCCCAAGGGUAUGGCUGUUCGCCAUUUAAAGUGGUACGCGAGCUGGGUUUAGAACGUCGUGAGACAGUUCGGUCCCUAUCUGCCGUGGGCGCUGGAGAACUGAGGGGGGCUGCUCCUAGUACGAGAGGACCGGAGUGGACGCAUCACUGGUGUUCGGGUUGUCAUGCCAAUGGCACUGCCCGGUAGCUAAAUGCGGAAGAGAUAAGUGCUGAAAGCAUCUAAGCACGAAACUUGCCCCGAGAUGAGUUCUCCCUGACUCCUUGAGAGUCCUGAAGGAACGUUGAAGACGACGACGUUGAUAGGCCGGGUGUGUAAGCGCAGCGAUGCGUUGAGCUAACCGGUACUAAUGAACCGUGAGG
rnacentral:rRNA from 1 species